AUGAAGAAGCCUAGCCGUUUGUUGGACGAGGAAGAAAUUGUCGUGGAUGCUCCGGUCGGCAAUAAACACGCUCUGAUUUGUGGAAACCAUCUUGCCCAAGUGCGGUGCCAGCCGGAGAGAGAGCGCCUUCACGAACAGCUUCGCGAUGAGAUGAAUGAGACUAAUGGGCCGAUAGUCAAAGAGGGACACCGCAUCUUACUUCUUAGGAAGAAGAGUGAGGAGCGCCUCAUUGAGCCGCUGGAAACCACGCCCGUUGAGUGUAUAGAGUUUGUCGAAGACAGCGCAGAUGUCAUGCUUGAUCACGUCCCAAGCACUCUGGAGAAAUUCGGCGGUAAAUCCAUCGGGGCCUGGCGCCUUCCCAAGCGGCAAGCUCUUGACAGCAGCCCAAAUCUCAUCCUUAGAGAAAGGCACGUCGAGGCCGGAGAGGUCGAAGGGGCCGGUGUGGACUGUAGAAAGAUCGAUGGAGAAAGGGCGUGGCUCCGCCGUUCCAAGAAUUCUGGUGAAGUGAUGGUAGGCGGCUUCAGCAAGCGCGGCCGGGGCGGAGACGGAGGUGUCUCCCACACGCAGCUCCAAGAUUCGGUUCUUCUGCUUGCGGUGUGCAGCGUGCACACGGAAGAACUUUUCGCAGCCAGGAAAGCCUGA
rnacentral:rRNA from 1 species